AGCAGCCGCGGUAAUUCCAGCUCCAAUAGCGUAUAUUAAAGUUGCUGCAGUUAAAAAGCUCGUAGUUGAAUUUCGGGACUAAUAUGUUGGUCGUGCUUCGGUACGUACUGAUAUUUUUGGUUUCUCCCUUCUGACGAACCUUGAUGUCAUUAAUUUGGUGUCUUGGGAAAUCAGGACUGUUACUUUGAAAAAAUUAGAGUGUUUAAAGCAGGCUCACGCUUGAAUACAUUAGCAUGGAAUAAUGAAAUAGGACGUUUGAUUCUAUUUUGUUGGUUUCUAGGAUCGACGUAAUGAUUAAUAGGGAUAGUUGGGGGCAUUAGUAUUCAAUUGUCAGAGGUGAAAUUCUUGGAUUUAUUGAAGACUAACUACUGCGAAAGCAUUUGCCAAGGAUGUUUUCAUUAAUCAAGAACGAAAGUUAGGGGAUCGAAGACGAUCAGAUACCGUCGUAGUCUUAACCAUAAACUAUGCCGACUAGGGAUCGGAUGAUGUUAAUUUUUUAAUGACUCA
rnacentral:rRNA from 1 species